rnacentral:rRNA from 1 species
UGGGGAAUCUUAGACAAUGGGCGCAAGCCUGAUCUAGCCAUGCCGCGUGAGCGAUGAAGGCCUUAGGGUUGUAAAGCUCUUUCAGUGGGGAAGAUAAUGACUGUACCCACAGAAGAAGCCCCGGCUAACUCCGUGCC